AUUGAACGCUGGCGGCAGGCCUAACACAUGCAAGUCGAGCGGAUGAAGGGAGCUUGCUCCUGGAUUCAGCGGCGGACGGGUGAGUAAUGCCUAGGAAUCUGCCUGGUAGUGGGGGAUAACGUCCGGAAACGGGCGCUAAUACCGCAUACGUCCUGAGGGAGAAAGUGGGGGAUCUUCGGACCUCACGCUAUCAGAUGAGCCUAGGUCGGAUUAGCUAGCUGGUGGGGUAAAGGCCUACCAAGGCGACGAUCCGUAACUGGUCUGAGAGGAUGAUCAGUCACACUGGAACUGAGACACGGUCCAGGCUCCUACGGGAGGCAGCAGUGGGGAAUAUUGGACAAUGGGCGAAAGCCUGAUCCAGCCAUGCCGCGUGUGUGAAGAAGGUCUUCGGAUUGUAAAGCACUUUAAGUUGGGAGGAAGGGCAGUAAGUUAAUACCUUGCUGUUUUGACGUUACCAACAGAAUAAGCACCGGCUAACUUCGU
rnacentral:rRNA from 1 species